UAGGGAAUAUUGCACAAUGGGCGAAAGCCUGAUGCAGCAACGCCGCGUGUGCGAAGAAGGCCUUCGGGUCGUAAAGCACUUUUCUGAGAGAUGAGAAAGGACAGUAUCUCAGGAAUAAGUCUCGGCUAACUACGUGCCAGCAGCCGCGGUAAAACGUAGGAGGCGAGCGUUAUCCGGAUUCACUGGGCGUAAAGCGCGUGCAGGCGGUUCGGUAAGUUGGGCGUGAAAUCUCCUGGCUCAACUAGGAGAGGUCGUUCAAUACUACCGGACUUGAGAGCGGUAGAGGAAGAUGGAAUUCCCGGUGUAGUGGUGAAAUGCGUAGAUAUCGGGAGGAACACCAGUGGCGAAGGCGAUCUUCUGGACCGUUUCUGACGCUCAGACGCGACAGCUAGGGUAGCAAACGGGAUUAGAGACCCCGGUAGUCCUAGCCGUAAACGAUGUGAACUUGGCGUCGGUGGGUAAACUCCAUCGGUGCCGCAGCUAACGC
rnacentral:rRNA from 1 species